rnacentral:hammerhead_ribozyme from 1 species
AUCCAACUGACGAGUCCCGUAUAGGAUGAAACGCGCAUCUUGGAU